AUUGAACGCUGGCGGCAUGCCUUACACAUGCAAGUCGAACGGCAGCACGGGAGCUUGCUCCUGGUGGCGAGUGGCGAACGGGUGAGUAAUACAUCGGAACGUACCCUGAAGUGGGGGAUAACGUAGCGAAAGUUACGCUAAUACCGCAUAUUCUGUGAGCAGGAAAGAGGGGGAUCGCAAGACCUCUUGCUUUAGGAGCGGCCGAUGUCGGAUUAGCUAGUUGGUGAGGUAAAGGCUCACCAAGGCGACGAUCCAUAGCGGGUCUGAGAGGAUGAUCCGCCACACUGGGACUGAGACACGGCCCAGACUCCUACGGGAGGCAGCAGUGGGGAAUUUUGGACAAUGGGCGCAAGCCUGAUCCAGCCAUGCCGCGUGAGUGAAGAAGGCCUCGGUUGUAAG
rnacentral:rRNA from 1 species